UGUCCUGUGGUGUAAUUGGCAACACGUCUGAUUCUGGAUCAGAAGAGUCGAGGUUCGAAACCUUGCAGGACAACAA
rnacentral:tRNA from 1 species